rnacentral:lncRNA from 1 species
GACAGAAGAGGCGAGGCGGGGAGCUCGAGCGGCGGCCACUGCCACGUCUUCCCGGCAGUGGCGGCGGCGGCGCAGGAGGAGGAAUAACCCGAGUCACCUUUCCUGGAAAUCAGUUUGCUGAAACUAUUGAAACAGCAGUUCUUGAAGAAAAGGAGAUUCUGCACCCUGACCAGAGGAGCGUGACCCUUCCUUCAAAUCCCUCUCCGGACGCACCCUCCUAGCAUCCCCUAGGAAAGAUGCGGCAGCUCAAGGGGAAGCCCAAGAAGGAGACGUCCAAGGAUAAGAAGGAGCGAAAGCAGGCCAUGCAGGAGGCCCGGCAGCAGAUCACCACGGUGGUACUGCCCACGCUGGCUGUGGUCGUGCUGCUGAUCGUGGUGUUCGUGUACGUGGCCACGCGCCCCGCCAUCACCGAGUGAGGGACCUCCCCCCCAGAGCGGAGGCGCGGGAGGGGAGAGCAGAAGAAGAAUGGCUUUCAUCUGCAGAGAUUUUCCUGAUGCUGAGCUCUGAGCCAGAGGACCCUGUCUUCUCUGGAGGUGGCCUUGCUCUCCCGGGAGCACAGGAAGGUGCUCUCCGUGCGGGUCCCCUGGCUGGGAGGUAUGUCCCUCUCACCUCCAGUCCUCUGGGCUUUCUCCGUCUCCCCACUUCACUCCCUGCUGUGAAUCACUUCCGGUAAAAUUGUGUUUUUUGACGGGCUCGUUUUAAGAUUGAGAGCCUCUUGAGAGGGCCAGAAAGGAUGCAUAAAUUGGACUGUUUCAGCAAAAAUAAGAGUUCUAAUUGGAAUGAGACCACAACUGCUUUUGACACCAGUUAGCAAACAGCAGCAACACAGAUGUGGUCCUGGAGGUAAAGGUCAGGCUUGGUUCAGUUCCUGCAGAAAGGGUACAAAUUGUCAACAGUCCAGCUGAGUUUGGGAUGCAAAUUGGCUGUGCUGGAAGGGUUGCUUCAUUGUAUUUUAGGGCAUCGUUAGCCGUCCUGGUGGCUGGUGGAGUGGGCCCCUUUUGGAAGUCAGAUUCAUGGUUACUGCUCUGAGGGUGUCUGUUCCUCUGUCAUUGCUGAUUACGGGGAGAUCUGUGGGGAGACAAGUGCUUGUCUAAUCUCCGUGGCUGCAUGACUCGCUCACUGAUUGCACAGGCGUGUUCUGGGGGCAUGGAGCGUCUUGGAGUGAGUCUCUAAGAAGACGAAGCAGCUGCUGGAAGGAAGGGCUCCAGCUGAAGCUCGGAUGCUGGGCUGGGCAGGGCCGACGGAGCUCUGCGGGCCUCCGAGGGAGACCGCGUGCUGCCCCACGCUCACUCCAGUGCCUGUGGCCCUGGAAAGAGAUUCGCUGAAACAUUUAUCAAAUGCAGAGGCUGCUAGCAUCAAGUUCCCCUUAGGUUUCCGUUUUCCUCCCCCUUAUUUGGUUCUCUGAGGAGCCUUAGUGCUUGCUGGUCUGAGAAAGCCUGGAGCCUCCUGCCCCCAGGACGGCUCAUUGGGGUGAAGGAGGGGGCGGGGCUUCUGCACCAUCCCUGCCCUCACGAUGGCCACUUAGCCACGAAAUGCAGAGCUCUGCCCCUCCCUCCCCAAGGACAGCCUGUGUGAGGACAGCCUGUCCGCUCCAGAAGGAAGAGCCCAGGCUGUGCUGGGUCCUGGCCUCAUCUGUGUUCAGUUUCCAGCCUACCCCUCAGAGCUGUGGAUUUCCCAAACCCCCAGAGCUCAGUUUCCCCAUCUGUAGUAGGCAGUCCAGGCACUUUCAGGGAAGUGGGCCUCUAGGGGAAACAAGGCUUUUAGAGCCAACCUGACUUUUUAUGCAGGUUUUGCUGCCAGAACCCCUCUCAGUCCACUUCCUCCUGUGAAACUGGAGGCUCUCUUGCCUCGUAGGACUGUUGGGAGGAAUCAAUUGAAACAAUACAUUUGUGAUGCCAAGUCUAGCACCUGGGAUGUAGUAGUUACUCUGUAGUAAUUUCUAGCAUUUGACAUGUAUUCAUGUAAUACAGGUAAUGUAUACAUGCACUGUUUUCCACGUAUUAACUCAUUUAUUUCUCAUAUAGCCCUAGGAGUAGGUACUGUUAGCACUCAAUUUUACUGCUGAGGAAACUGAGGUGGGCCAAAGGACUUGUUGCUGUCAUACAGCUAGUCAGCGGAGGAACCCAGGUUUGCUUAUUUUAAUGCUUUUGUUAUGGGAAGUUUCGCACAUACACAAAAAUAGAACGGUAAUACAAUAUACCUCACGUACACCUCGACCAGCUUCAGCAAACCGCAACACGUGGCCACUCCUGCUCACCCAUCUCCACUGCCCCUCACACCCAGACACCUUCCUGUGCACACGCACACCGGAUUAUUCUGUAGCAGGACAGGAGAUGGGAUUUAAACCCGGGCAGUCUGGCUCCAGAGUCCGUGCUCUUCAUUAUGAAGACCUGUUACCUCUUAAUAAACACUAAUUUCCCCCUCUCCACUCUCCCAGCCUAAAGUAAGCUUUCCUGCCCAGGUGUGUGAACAGCCCUCACUUGCCCACAGCUGCCGUGAACAACCUUAGAUGCCAUCUUUGGACCAACAGGCCGUAGUUUAGCUUUACCCACUGAGCGUCUGACACCCUGCCCAAUCUCUCACCCUGUAGCGAUCAAGGAGAAAUACCUGUUUCGUGGGCUCCUUAGAAAAGCAUCUCAGUAUUCGUGCUUCGGACAUUUCGGGUGUGACGUGAAAAGAGCCUGAGGUUUGGGGAGCAAAGACACGUGUGAAUCCUCAGCCCGCCACUUUCUAACCAGAUGACCUCAGUCAGGUCCCGUGACCUGAGCUGUAGUUGCCCCACAUCUGUCAGGUAAGGUUCAUUUUAACUAUGUAGAGGAUGUUGGGAGGAUAAAUGGAAAUAAAAAAGGGGUGUGACAUUGUUCCUAGGACAUUGUAGAUGCUCAAUAAAUAGCCAUUCUCUGUUUGUCAGUGCGUUCAAACCUCACAGGACAUGCAUGAAGGAAGGCCAGCCUCCCAGGGUGUCACUUGCCAGACUGACACAAGACCUCACACUGGAUGACAGAUCCUGAGGUGCUUCUGGCCCUUGUUUUCUCCCACUGUUUUUCUCUUUUGUUGUCCAUCGGGAAGCCUGGUGGAGUUGCACUGGAUUUUCAGGUGAAGGCAAUUACCAGGCAGGCUUGGUGAAAGCAGGCUGAAGAUGGACUUCUGAAAGUUAACAUAACUUUGAUGUGAGCCCCCUCCUGGCGGGAACGAGGUGCCAAUUUAUUGUGGACUUGCUGGGUGGAAUCGAACGAUUCUCAGGGUAAACGGUACUCUCGUGUGGAGGCCCUGGGUGAUGAUUUGAGACACCAGCUUCCAAACUGGGCUCAGUUAUUCAGUGGCUUCAAGGCAAAACCGAGUGAUUUAUUAGGAGUUUCACAGAAGGUCAUGCUGGGGUUCUGCAACAGGAUCUGGGGCUCUUGGCUUUCGGGGUCCUCAUUUCAAAGCCUAACAUUUCUCGAAGAGCAAAUUCCAAAAGAGGAAUCAGAUUAGAAACAGGAAUAGAAACCAUUGUCGUUGGUUUGAAAGGCGUCACUUGUUGUCUUUUAAGAAAAUCAUACCAAGAUGUAUUUGUGUGUCUGCCGGUUCUAAAACCACCAGCUUUAAUUCCUUCUCAGUCGGUUCAAAGGCAGAACAGCACACGCCUGUCUUUCCUUCCUGCAUCCUUCGUGAGGUAACAGGAAGGAAACCUGUAGCCAGACUCAUCUGUAAACUGGAGAUGGUUUUUAACACCUGCCUCAGGUUUGUUUCGGAAGAUGAACGAGAUGACUGUCUUUCCCUUUUCCCCCAAAGGGUCUCACAUCAUUAUUUACUUGCUAGAGGUAGAAAAAGAAGGAAGUCAAUUAUGGCUCUUGGAUUUCGUUUUGGAAGGCUGCCAUCACAUAUAUGUGUGUGUGUAUGUAUUUGUGUGUGUGCAUAUACAUGAAUAUAUGUAUCUUUUAUAGCUCUGUGUUGAAAAUGCCCCACGUGCUCUGUCACCGGAAGAUGUCUGCCUUACUUUGAAUGCAAUUUCUUUUUCGGGAACCACCUUUAAUUCUGUGUUCUCUACAACAGCGGUCCCCAACCUUUUCGGCACCAGGGACUGGUUUCGUGGAAGACAAUCUUUCCGUGGACUGGGGGUGGGGGGAUGGUUCAGGCGGUAAUGGGAGCGAUGGGGAGCGGCUGUAAAUACAGAUGAAGCUUCGCUCGCUCACUGCUCACCUCCUGCUGUGUGGCCUGGUUCCUGACAGGCCGCGGACUGGUAGUGGUCAGAGGCCCUGGGGUUGGGGACCCCUGCUCGACAAUAUUUGUCAUGGACUCGCUUAAGCAUUAAAAAUCAGAUACAGAAUCUUUGGAUCAAGGAGAUAGAUGAGUACCUUCCUCAGCUCUUCCAGAACAUCUGUACUAGGAUUGGGUAGGGGCUUGCACAUCCUCGGAGGCCUGUCCCACCUGCCCCUGUGCCUCAGAGAUCGGGGAAGAGCAGUUGUGCACGUAUGUCCUGCCUCACCCACUGCAUCAGGCUUAAUUUUUCCUUAUGAGUCUACGUCGUGCAGUAGCCAGGCUGUCCUCUUCUGUUCUGAGUAUUUUCUCAUUACUCUACAAGGCAAAUGUUUCUGACUUCAGACUAUGUCAGUUGGGUCAUCUGUAUUAUCCCCCCGCCUGCCAGUUCUGUGGAAAGGAGCCAGUCUUUUCAAAAAGAUUUUAAUCACUUCAGCUGUUGAGUAAUAACUUCAGGAGGGUAGACCAGAGUGAGCUUUGGGUACUCAGUGAUGCCACGGUUAAGGGUCUCUCUCCUUCUUUUGUUCACUUCCUAAUCAUUGCAUGAAGGCUGUCUCUUUGAACCCUCCCAGGAAGGAAACUUCUCCAACCUGUGACUGUUCCUUUUCCAACUGAAACAAAGCACAGCUGGCCACACGGAUCACAGCCACUCUUGCAGAAAGCACAGUGAACUCUUUGGGAUAAGGCCCAACUCCCAAGGCAUCAACUCGUUUGGAUUGGAAUAAAUUAAGAAAGCCCGUGAUGAACUCCUCCUGCAAGGCCCUCCACCUGGAGUUACUUCUGCCUCUUACUGCAUUACUGGUUCAUUGAAAGUCUUCCAUUUAAUUCAUCCACCCACAUUCUCCAGAGACAUUGUAAUUCCCUGCCUCACACAGUCCUCCCAGGUUGGGCUUUAAAAGAUGUAGCAAUAUCUACAAAAGAUAUAUUUAAAGCAAAAUUAUAUUAAAGAUUGAAAAUUU